UACGAAGGGGGCUAGCGUUGCUCGGAAUCACUGGGCGUAAAGCGCACGUAGGCGGGUUCUUGAGUCAGGGGUGAAAUCCCGGAGCUCAACUCCGGAACUGCCUUUGAUACUGGGGAUCUUGAGUCCGGAAGAGGUGAGUGGAACUCCGAGUGUAGAGGUGAAAUUCGUAGAUAUUCGGAAGAACACCAGUGGCGAAGGCGGCUCACUGGUCCGGUACUGACGCUGAGGUGCGAAAGCGUGGGGAGCAGACGGG
rnacentral:rRNA from 1 species